CCAAGGGCUCUUCUCAGAGCCACCUAUACUUUCGGACAAAAAGUUU
rfam:Sarcophilus harrisii ctg7180001401429, whole genome shotgun sequence.